AGACCCGAAACCCGGUGAUCUAGCCAUGGGCAGGUUGAAGGUUGGGUAACACUAACUGGAGGACCGAACCGACUAAUGUUGAAAAAUUAGCGGAUGACCUGUGGCUGGGGGUGAAAGGCCAAUCAAACCGGGAGAUAGCUGGUUCUCCCCGAAAGCUAUUUAGGUAGCGCCUCGUGAAUUCAUCUCCGGGGGUAGAGCACUGUUUCGGCUAGGGGGCCAUCCCGGCUUACCAACCCGAUGCAAACUGCGAAUACCGGAGAAUGUUAUCACGGGAGACACACGGCGGGUGCUAACGUCCGUCGUGAAGAGGGAAACAACCCAGACCGCCAGCUAAGGUCCCAAAGUCAUGGUUAAGUGGGAAACGAUGUGGGAAGGCCCAGACAGCCAGGAUGUUGGCUUAGAAGCAGCCAUCAUUUAAAGAAAGCGUAAUAGCUCACUGGUCGAGUCGGCCUGCGCGGAAGAUGUAACGGGGCUAAACCAUGCACCGAAGCUGCGGCAGCGACACUGUGUGUUGUUGGGUAGGGGAGCGUUCUGUAAGCCUGUGAAGGUGUGUCGUGAGGCAUGCUGGAGGUAUCAGAAGUGCGAAUGCUGACAUAAGUAACGAUAAAGCGGGUGAAAAGCCCGCUCGCCGGAAGACCAAGGGUUCCUGUCCAACGUUAAUCGGGGCAGGGUGAGUCGACCCCUAAGGCGAGGCCGAAAGGCGUAGUCGAUGGGAAACGGGUUAAUAUUCCCGUACUUGGUGUUACUGCGAAGGGGGGACGGAGAAGGCUAUGUUGGCCGGGCGACGGUUGUCCCGGUUUAAGCGUGUAGGUGUGUGUUCCAGGUAAAUCCGGUUCACUUUAACACUGAGGCGUGACGACGAGGCACUACGGUGCUGAAGCAACAAAUGCCCUGCUUCCAGGAAAAGCCUCUAAGCAUCAGGUAACAUCAAAUCGUACCCCAAACCGACACAGGUGGUCAGGUAGAGAAUACCAAGGCGCUUGAGAGAACUCGGGUGAAGGAACUAGGCAAAAUGGUGCCGUAACUUCGGGAGAAGGCACGCUGACACGUAGGUGAAGUGAUUUACUCAUGGAGCUGAAGUCAGUCGAAGAUACCAGCUGGCUGCAACUGUUUAUUAAAAACACAGCACUGUGCAAACACGAAAGUGGACGUAUACGGUGUGACGCCUGCCCGGUGCCGGAAGGUUAAUUGAUGGGGUCAGCGCAAGCGAAGCUCCUGAUCGAAGCCCCGGUAAACGGCGGCCGUAACUAUAACGGUCCUAAGGUAGCGAAAUUCCUUGUCGGGUAAGUUCCGACCUGCACGAAUGGCGUAAUGAUGGCCAGGCUGUCUCCACCCGAGACUCAGUGAAAUUGAACUCGCUGUGAAGAUGCAGUGUACCCGCGGCAAGACGGAAAGACCCCGUGAACCUUUACUAUAGCUUGACACUGAACAUUGAGCCUUGAUGUGUAGGAUAGGUGGGAGGCUUUGAAGUGUGGACGCCAGUCUGCAUGGAGCCGACCUUGAAAUACCACCCUUUAAUGUUUGAUGUUCUAACGUGGACCCGUUACCCGGGUUGCGGACAGUGUCUGGUGGGUAGUUUGACUGGGGCGGUCUCCUCCUAAAGAGUAACGGAGGAGCACGAAGGUUGGCUAAUCCUGGUC
rnacentral:rRNA from 2 species